CACCAAAUCAAGAAAACAGUUAUUGUGGUUAGGAAUAUUGCAUAUCUGCAACAGGCCGGCAGAAAGAAAACCAUCUACAAUAACCAUCUCGCGCUGGGAGCUGACUUGAUCGGGUUCAAAUCGCCGACAACAAUUAUCUCAUCAUCGGGACCAGCUGAUUCAACGAUGGAUUCGACAAAAAAACAAAACGAGCGAUACCGUUCAACACUAGAGCCCUAGCAUGUUCAGUGCUGGUGAGACGGUUGUGGACGGCAACUAAUACACCUCCUCCGGAUACCUUUUCACUAUUGGAG